CGUCGGGGUGGAGCAGCUUGGUAGCUCGUCGGGCUCAUAACCCGAAGGUCGUUGGUUCAAAUCCAGCCCCCGCAACCA
rnacentral:tRNA from 1 species